rnacentral:rRNA from 1 species
GACGAACGCUGGCGGCGUGCUUAACACAUGCAAGUCGAACGGUGAAGGUGGAGCUUGCUCUGCUGGAUCAGUGGCGAACGGGUGAGUAACACGUGGGCAACCUGCCCCUCGCUCUGGGAUAACUCCGGGAAACCGGGGCUACUACCGGAUAUGACCAUUCUAGGCAUCUUUGAGGGUGGAAAGUUUUUCGGCGAGGGAUGGGCCCGCGGCCUAUCAGUUUGUUGGUGGGGUAAUGGCCUACCAAGGCAGUGACGGGUAGCCGGCCUGAGAGGGCGACCGGCCACACUGGGACUGGGACACGGCCCAGACUCCUACGGGAGGCAGCAGUGGGGAAUAUUGCGCAAUGGGCGAAAGCCUGACGCAGCGACGCCGCGUGAGGGAUGACGGCCUUCGGGUUGUAAACCUCUUUCAGCAGGGACGAAGCGCAAGUGACGGUACCUGCAGAAGAAGCACCGGCCAACUACGUGCCAGCAGCCGCCGUAA